rnacentral:lncRNA from 1 species
AGAAAACAUACAAAUGGAUCCUAAUAUGAUCAUUAGACAAACAGUUAUGAACAAAGGUAAGUUAUAUGCAUGGUAUUUGUAAACAAACCCUUCCUUGGUAACAACAGCAAUCAUUAUGGCUCCCAACUGUUUGUUCCCCUGAUUAGUUUGACAUUAAAGCCCCACAACUUCGACGACAAACCCCUCGUUGAUAAUUGCACUGUUAUGAUAACUCCCACCUGCCCCCAUUUCCCUAACCAAUUGAACGUUAAACCCCCCACAAAUUCACCAUCAAACCCUCAUUGGUAACUGCACUGUUAUGAUAACUCCCACCUGCCCCCAUCUCCCUCACCAAUUGAACGUCAAACCCCCUAUAAAUUCGACGUCAACUCCUCAUUGGUAACUGCACCAUUAUUUUAAAAGACCCAAGUGCAUCAUUUCACUGAUAAAUGGAUGUCGAAUUGCAAACACAAUCGACGUGGCAUUGAUUCAUUAAUUAAAUUAUCUUGAAGAUGUUUCCACAUAAAGAAAUCAGUUAGCUCUUAAAUCUAACGGUAGAAAAAAACUUCAAGAUAAUUUAAAAAAUGAAUCAUACAAAUAUGAUGAAGAUGGACAUUAUAUUAGAAUUUUGUUUUAGUUCUUAAAAU